UUUUAAUUUAUACUUAAAUAACCUGAUACUGCUUUUAGAUGAACUGGAUACAAGCCUAAGAAGAUGCCUGUCUGAAAAAGAGCCAAGUGAGAUGAAGAUGCCAAGGCACACGGAAGUUAAGUAUCCAAGUAUUUUUAAGAUCCAAUUCCUGCCACCCUUGAAAACACCAGCUUCAUGUGCUAUUGUUCCCCUGCCACAUGUAUCUUCAUUGUGGUGGAUACACCUUAAGAUAACUUUUAUUCACACAGAGAGACCUUCCUUCAGGACUUGAAGAAGCAAGUCAAGUUGUUACGAUGUGAAUG